rnacentral:rRNA from 1 species
UACGUAGGUGGCAAGCGUUGUCCGGAAUUACUGGGCGUAAAGCGUGCGCAGGCGGUUUUGUAAGCCAGAUGUGAAAGCCCCGGGCUUAACCUGGGAAUGGCAUUUGGGACUGCAAGGCUGGAGUGUGGCAGAGGAGACUGGAAUUCCUGGUGUAGCAGUGAAAUGCGUAGAUAUCAGGAGGAACACCGAUGGCGAAGGCAGGUCUCUGGGCUGACACUGACGCUCAUGCACGAAAGCGUGGGGAGCAAACAGG